UACGUAGGAUGCAAGCGUUAUCCGGAAUGAUUGGGCGUAAAGCGUCCGCAGGUGGCAGUUCAAGUCUGCUGUCAAAGACCGGGGCUUAACUUCGGAAAGGCAGUGGAAACUGAACAGCUAGAGUAUGGUAGGGGCAGAGGGAAUUCCUGGUGUAGCGGUGAAAUGCGUAGAGAUCAGGAAGAACAUCGGUGGCGAAGGCGCUCUGCUGGACCAUAACUGGCACUCAGGGACGAAAGCUAGGGGAGCGAAUGGG
rnacentral:rRNA from 1 species